rnacentral:rRNA from 1 species
AGAGUUUGAUCCUGGCUCAGGAUGAACGCUGGCGGCGUGCCUAAUACAUGCAAGUCGAGCGAACGGACGAGAAGCUUGCUUCUCUGAUGUUAGCGGCGGACGGGUGAGUAACACGUGGAUAACCUACCUAUAAGACUGGGAUAACUUCGGGAAACCGGAGCUAAUACCGGAUAAUAUUUUGAACCGCAUGGUUCAAAAGUGAAAGACGGUCUUGCUGUCACUUAUAGAUGGAUCCGCGCUGCAUUAGCUAGUUGGUAAGGUAACGGCUUACCAAGGCAACGAUGCAUAGCCGACCUGAGAGGGUGAUCGGCCACACUGGAACUGAGACACGGUCCAGACUCCUACGGGAGGCAGCAGUAGGGAAUCUUCCGCAAUGGGCGAAAGCCUGACGGAGCAACGCCGCGUGAGUGAUGAAGGUCUUCGGAUCGUAAAACUCUGUUAUUAGGGAAGAACAUAUGUGUAAGUAACUGUGCACAUCUUGACGGUACCUAAUCAGAAAGCCACGGCUAACUACGUGCCAGCAGCCGCGGUAAUACGUAGGUGGCAAGCGUUAUCCGGAAUUAUUGGGCGUAAAGCGCGCGUAGGCGGUUUUUUAAGUCUGAUGUGAAAGCCCACGGCUCAACCGUGGAGGGUCAUUGGAAACUGGAAAACUUGAGUGCAGAAGAGGAAAGUGGAAUUCCAUGUGUAGCGGUGAAAUGCGCAGAGAUAUGGAGGAACACCAGUGGCGAAGGCGACUUUCUGGUCUGUAACUGACGCUGAUGUGCGAAAGCGUGGGGAUCAAACAGGAUUAGAUACCCUGGUAGUCCACGCCGUAAACGAUGAGUGCUAAGUGUUAGGGGGUUUCCGCCCCUUAGUGCUGCAGCUAACGCAUUAAGCACUCCGCCUGGGGAGUACGACCGCAAGGUUGAAACUCAAAGGAAUUGACGGGGACCCGCACAAGCGGUGGAGCAUGUGGUUUAAU